AAGAAGAUGCUCGUUCUACCCACCAUGCAAGCAGCUGUUAGCUAAGAAAUGAGAUGCUCAGAGAGGUGCUCUAAAAUACAGUGUUAUUACGAUGAACAUUAGAUCUCUUUCAGAGGACAGCAUCCUUCCAUAGAGACACCACAUCUCUGCCCUGUGAAUAGACAGCAGAGUAUCGAUGCUUCCUUAAAAAAGAAAGGUUUUGAUUGUGAGAGGAGCAAACAUGAAUCCCCUUCUUUCAUUUUACAGAAAGAGGCUGACUAGGAAACUAAUUAAGUGGUUGGUUAACUUUAUGUGUAUAAGUAGCUUCAUUUAAUUCUGAGUCAAGUUACUGCAGCUCCCUAUUGAAAGCAUCAGCAGAAAGGCAGGCAAGUACAUCUCCAUAAAAAUGCUGUUAAUCUUGAGAAGACCUUGAAUGGCUCCUGCAUUCCCUAAUGGAGCCUUUCAUGCUCUUUCCUUUUCACCACCUCAUUCCUAUGAGGAGCACUUCUGCUUGUGUGCCAGUAAAAGUACAGUAAUUCAGGAAGAACCAUGAACCUUCCUUGAAAUAACAGUGUGUAACUCCCAUUGGAUAGAAAUGGAAACAGAAGAAGGAUGCAUAUUAUGAACUACAGUAAUGUUACAUGGUGCUUUUCAUGAUUACAUAUCCCUGAUGUGACUUUUUGCACAGGAAGACACAAAUUUAUGUGUAUUCAUCAUGAAGGGAAAAGAAGAUUUUCAUGUAUUUAGGCUUGGGCUCACAUCAGAGACGACAGGUAAAUGUAGCUGGUGUUUUGGCUGUGAGCUUGCAUCAGUGCUUGAAUCCUAAGUCUCUGUGUAUCAUGCUGCUUGCACUCAAGCUCACACUGGGGCACAGCUUUUGGUAAACCUUGGGGUGCCUGCUACUCAGAUUUAAUGUCUUUAGAACCCUCCAGCUAUUGGUUUGAUGACUGUGCAGAGGUGGGCUUCAUGUGCAAUACAUGAAAUGCCAUCUACCCAUUGCUUUUUCACCCUGUGGUGUGCCAUGAUGUGGGGUGGUUAAGGCUGGAGAAGAGGGUCCUCCUGUAGCUUUAGGUAUGGUUGUACCAUUACCUGCAUACCUUUCCCCGUUCCUGAGCGCUCCAUAUACCUGUGUGUGUUUAAUUCCUUGUAUUUCUUUGAGUACCCUUCCUGUUCCUGGUGUGACUGCAUCUGCAUCUGCAGCUGUUUGUGGACUAGACUGGAAGAAUCAGCCAGCCUUCUCCUCCCUGUCCCAUCUCCAUCCUGGUUUUGUUACAGGCAAAUGACAUGAGGUGCAGCUCUGAGCAACUGCAGAGUUGUUUAUCCCUGGAGAAAGCCCCUUCCUGCCAGGCUCAGUUUUUGUUCUAGUGGGAGACUUACGCUCACAGACUGAACUCUAGAAGCUGCAGGAUCCACGGCUGUCAGGUGUCAAUACUUUAUCCAGGAGCCAAGUUCAGGAUAUAAAAGUUCAGCCAUGGGUUUGGCUGGGUUUUUGCUUGCCUUGCCAACAGGCAAGAAGACAUGAUGUGACAAGCAGACAUUGGGUGCCGUGGUUUAGUGUGAGGUGUCCCUGCCCAUGGCAGGGGGGUUGGAACUGGAUGAUCUUAAGGUCCUUUCCAACCCUAACCAUUCUAUCAGUCUAAGGAACUGUAAAGGAUGAUGGCCAGAGAAAGAGGAUCACUGCCACACCAUUGCAGGUACUGCAUUAUUUAUGGUGAGCUUAGAGAAACAGACUGGGUUGUACCAGUCCAUACCAGACCAUUGAGUGUGGACUGAGGAGUAAUGUUGGUGGUAGACUUGGUAGCAAUCUCUAUUCAUAGACUCGUAGAAUAAUUUGGGUUGGAAGGGACCUUCAAAGCUCAUUUCAUCCAACCCCCUGCAAUGAGCAGGGACACCUUCCACUAGACCAGGUUGCCCAGAACCACAUCCAGCCUGGCCUUGAAUGUCUCCGGGAAUGCUGCAUCCGCCUCUCUGGGCAACCUGGGCCAGUGCUUUACCACCCUCACUGGAAAACAUUUCUUGCUCACAUCCAGCUGUACUGGGAGGAACUGGUGUCCCCCAGAUAAUGCUGCGAUCAAGAGAGUGAUCCCUUGUUUAAAAGCGGAGGUGGCACAUCUUGCAAGGGUGUUUGCAGUCCGGGGCCUUGGUUGUAUUCCAGGGUGAGUUACUACAUUGCACCAUCCUAGGACUCACAUCCAUUUGGAGUAGUUGAUUCUUCUGUCACUCCCUCUUCCGAGCUGUUACAUGCACUGUUAAACAUCUGGCACAUUCCACCCCAGAGGUGAGACCUUCCUAAAUUGUAAGCAUACUUUAUCCCCCGUAUUUGCUGGCACAGAAAUCUCAGCAAACACAACUGCUCCUUCAGCACAUCCUAAUUGUUCUGGGGAUAUAUGGGGGUAGGGCACUGAUAUUAAUUGCAUGUCAUUGUUCCUGAAUUCAAAUGUUCCUAUUUACUAACCUCCUCCCUCAUUACAGACCUAUUACAGUCCUGAGCCACUGGAGAGUUUGAAGCCCAUCUAUUUGUCAAAUAUGUUUUCUGUGAAAUGGAACAAACAACUUGUCUGAAGACUUUUAGAUGCUUUCAAAUGGUCUCUGUCAGUGUCAGUUGAGGUUUUAUUCCCAUAAUCCUACAACUGUGCCUGGCAGCAUGUAACUCACAGAUCUAUGUAUGCAGGAAGCAGUGGGUUCCUUCUGUCUUAAUCUGCAGCCUCUUACUUUUAUGACUGCUUCAUAUCAUCAGUCUUUAUUUCCAUCAUAAGUUAAAGAUGGCUUCCCCCAGCGGUUGUUUCCAGAUGAAUGGAUCCGAGGAAGAGGAUUUACAGGGGUUCUGGGUACUCGGGACACAGGAGCACUGGUACACCUGAAACAUGCCUUGUGUAUGAUGGAUGGGGCAUAUUAUCUGAAUGCUAAUAAAUACUGAGCCACAAA